rnacentral:rRNA from 1 species
GACGAACGCUGGCGGCGUGCCUAAUACAUGCAAGUAGAACGCAGUUGCGACCGGGUGAGUAACGCGUAGGUAACUGCCUCAUAGCGGGGGAUAACUAUUGGAAAAGAUAGCUAAUACCGCAUUCUGUUGGAUGGACCUGCGUUGUAUUAGGUUGUUGGUGGGGUAAAGGACCACCAAGGCGACGAUACAUAGCCGACGUGAGAGGGAGAUCGGGCACACUUGGACUGAGACACCGCCCAGACUCCUACGGGAGGCAGCAGGAGGGAAUCUUCGGCAAUGGAGGGAAGUCUGACCGAGCAACGCCGGGUGAGUGAAGAAGGGUUUCGGAGCGUAAAGCUCUGUUGUUAGAGAAGCGGUAACUAAACAGAAAGGGACGGCUAACUACGUGCCAGCAGCCGCGGUAAUUC